CUUGGCAGGCUGUGACACCCCAAGCCGAUUAGUGAGUUUCUUCCACUGUCUUUGCACUGGCCAGGAAUACAGCCACCCCCACGAUGCUGACCAUAAAUACUACCCUUAGUCGUCAUUGUGCUCCCCCCGCAGACAGGACAACCUGCAACCCCGACUGGAGACCCUAGUUGAAAAUAUCUAAACCAAUUAAAUUAAGAUGAACGCUCUUCUUCCUCAAACUCAAGUUGAUGCCUUCCAGUUCUACAUGCCUAACCACCAACCCUCCCAGACGGGAGAUCCAAGUGGCCCAAAAAGACAUGCAGCUAUCUGAACUGGACCUUUCUAGCCCCUUUCGCCAGAGUAACAAGGUGCAGCAAUCAGCUUCUCAACUGGCAAACUGAAAACCAUCUAAACAGCGUUAAUUUCAAUACUCAAAAAGGACAAAACUGACACCGGACCCACUGUCUUGUGCUUGGAAACAGGAAUGCCAAAAUGUGCCACCACACAUUGAAU